UUAAGAGCAGAAACGUGAUGAUUGAAAAAAUCUUUAGAUCUCUGCAUGUCUUUGGACCUGUACAGUGUGUUUUUUCUGAAAUCAGAAGGGGAAAAUGUUUGUACAGGAGAUAGGCACUUGUGGUCAGACAGACCUGCCUCGACCUCUGAUUCCUGAACUCCAGUACGCUUGUUUUCUUCAUCUCCUGCUGCAUUUGUAUAAGCAAGUCUCAGACCUAGAUGGUAAGACCUUCAACUGGUGGUGAGAAAGAGGUGUUUAAUUCCUCCUUUUGCCAAUCCAAGAGAAAAUUAUGAAGCAUUACUUCCCGUGAAAGGUCGGAACCUUUCAAGGGCUGAGGACUCUGCCACCUCUCAGAGGAGUGAACUAAGCAUCCACAAGUAAAACCCAAAG